UGCCUUUUUGUGUUGCCCAUUCACAGUAUAUUGAGUGAAUGUGGUGUCAACAAAGGCAUACAUAAACAUUUGAGAUGAUUUUAUGAAAAUGCUGUCUUGUGACUUUUUUUUUUUUUCCAAUAUGU